UGGGAGCUUGCUCCCAGAGGUUAGCGGCGAACGGGUGAGUAACACGUGGGCAACCUGCCCUGUAGACUGGGAUAACAUCGAGAAAUCGGUGCUAAUACCGGAUAAUAAUAGGAACUGCAUAGUUCCCAUUUAAAAGAUGGCUCCGGCUAUCACUACAGGAUGGGCCCGCGACGCAUUAGCUAGUUGGUAAGGUAACGGCUUACCAAGGCGACGAUGCGUAGCCGACCUGAGAGGGUGAUCGGCCACACUGGGACUGAGACACGGCCCAGACUCCUACGGGAGGCAGCAGUAGGGAAUCUUCCGCAAUGGACGAAAGUCUGACGGAGCAACGCCGCGUGAGUGAUGAAGGGUUUCGGCUCGUAAAGCUCUGUUGUUAGGGAAGAACAAGUGCCGUUCAAAUAGGGCGGCACCUUGACGGUACCUAACCAGAAAGCCACGGCUAACUACGUGCCAGCAGCCGCGGUAAUACGUAGGUGGCAAGCGUUGUCCGGAAUUAUUGGGCGUAAAGCGCGCGCAGGCGGUCUUUUAAGUCUGAUGUGAAAUCUCGGGGCUCAACCCCGAGCGGUCAUUGGAAACUGGGAGACUUGAGUACAGAAGAGGAGAGUGGAAUUCCACGUGUAGCGGUGAAAUGCGUAGAUAUGUGGAGGAACACCAGUGGCGAAGGCGACUCUCUGGUCUGUAACUGACGCUGAGGCGCGAAAGCGUGGGGAGCAAACAGGAUUAGAUACCCUGGUAGUCCACGCCGUAAACGAUGAGUGCUAGGUGUUAGGGGUUUCGAUGCCCUUAGUGCCGAAGUUAACACAUUAAGCACUCCGCCUGGGGAGUACGACCGCAAGGUUGAAACUCAAAGGAAUUGACGGGGGCCCGCACAAGCAGUGGAGCAUGUGGUUUAAUUCGAAGCAACGCGAGAACCUUACCAGUCUUGACAUCCUUAUGACCUCCCUAGAGAUAGGGAUUU
rnacentral:rRNA from 1 species